UACGAAGGGGGCUAGCGUUGCUCGGAAUCACUGGGCGUAAAGCGCACGUAGGCGGCUUUUUAAGUCAGGGGUGAAAUCCUGGAGCUCAACUCCAGAACUGCCUUUGAUACUGAGAAGCUUGAGUCCGGGAGAGGUGAGUGGAACUGCGAGUGUAGAGGUGAAAUUCGUAGAUAUUCGCAAGAACACCAGUGGCGAAGGCGGCUCACUGGCCCAUUACUGACGCUGAGGCACGAAAGCGUGGGGAGCAAACAGG
rnacentral:rRNA from 1 species